rnacentral:ncRNA from 1 species
GCGAAAUACAUGAAAGUGUAUGGCGCAAAGUCCGACGUCUAAGGUGAAAUCACUAUGAUGGGUCAACUGCACAA